GGGAGGGGAGAAUCAACACUGGGACCAACACUUACUCCAAACCCCCAUGGAAUUCAGAGUCAAGAGCCCGUGUUCCGUCCCAGCCUCCGGGUGGGCUUCCAGGGAGCUGGCUCUUGCCUGCCUUUCAGAACCUCAGGCCGUCCAUUUAGGAUGGCAACACAAGCUGUGCUGGCCUCCCUCUCAGGACGGCCACCAGGGGGAAGGAAGCCCUGGGGGCUCAAAAAGCUCUGGGAGCCUCCCUAGCCCUGGCGGCAGAUGCGUUGCGGGAACACCACGGCUCCAACGGUGCUCUCAGGACGCUGUCCCCUCCUGCGUCCUCCCCGGCACCCGUCCGUCCUGCGAACUCAUGCCCUCUGAUCUGAAGCGGCCCCAGAGACACAUUCUCCCACCCUCCGGGCCUGGUCUUCAGGUCUCAGCCGUGUCCUCACCAAGCUGUCGGGUCUAUCCUCCUGGGUGCUCACGGCUCCCUCCACCCUCCGGUGGAUCUGGAAUCACUCGACCGUCGGCAAAACAGAAAACACAGCCGCUUUCAGAGCCCAAACACAGCGUGGGCUCCCAAGUCAUCUGCUGCCUAAUUCAGCGUGCUCAGGCUGCUGCGGCCUGUGGGGACACGGGCCCCUGUCGUUCCAGGCCCCAGACCUCAAGGGAGGACACGCGGCUCUUGGAGACCCUCCGCCUCACUUCCUUCCUUUUCACUCUCUGCACCGGAGGGCGCUGGCGUGUGCGUGCGUGCGUGUGCGUGCGUAUCUGCAUGCAUCUGCGAAGAGCCCGGCUGUCUGCGCGGGGCCUGGUGGUGCCCUGCAAGCCAGCUUCCCGCAGCGCAGUCCUGGGACGCCGUCAGGCCCAGGAAGCCGUGCUCUCGGUCCGUGCUGGCGAGGGAAGACCGGAGGCAGCGCGGCGAGUCUCCCGCGAAGCCACAGCCUGUGCUCUGCGAGAGCCCUUCCAUGUGGAGAAGUUCCCUGCGUGUGACGGGCACGCAACCCAGUGAGUGCACGGCACGUUGUGUUGCCACACGCUGAGCGCCUCACGUAAGCGCAGCCCCCCAGAGGCAGGCCACCCCCUGACGGACGUGGAGUGGGGUGCUCAGCGGGGCAACUGUUCUUGGCGGAAUCGGUGCGGCUUCCGUCAUUCAACUGUAUGCUUUGGAGAGUCGUCAUAUUUUUAUCCAUUUAUUCUAGACGGAGAGCCCGACCAUACGAGGGAGGGGGGGGCAGAGGGAGAGAAUCCUCUAGCAGCCUCCCCGCUGCGUGCAGAGCCCCGCGUGUGGCCCGAUCCCAGGACCCAGGACCCUGAGAUCAUGACCUGAGCUGAAGCCAAGAGUCAGGCGCUCAACUGACGGAGCCACCAGGCACCCCCGUAUUUUUAUUUAUAAUUGUGGUAAA
rnacentral:lncRNA from 1 species